AUGAAACCAGAUGAUAAAUUGGAGUUGGAGCAAUGGGAACAGAAUGAGCAGCGUGUUAUGGUGUGGUUGUUGGGGUCAAUGGAGCCUUCAGUUCGUGAGCAGGUUGAGAACCUACAAACUACAAUAGAAGUGUGGAAGGAAAUUGGGCAGCAACUCUCUGGCAAAACAAACAAGAUGCAAGUGACAAGGGUGCUCCAUGAGAUGAGAAAUCUUAAACAAGGAGAGAGGUCUAUAAUAGAUUAUGCCGGUGAGCUGAAAAGGUUAUACAGAGACCUUGAGUUCUUUCAUCCUUUCAAGUCUAAUGAUCCGGAAGACUUAGCUCUUCUUCGUGAAUGGUUUCAGCCCAUUCUUGUUCAAACCUUUUUGGAAGGGCUAAACAAAGAGUUUGAUCUUCGAAGACAAAUGAUCUAUUCAGCUCCGGAUUGGCCCACCCUUGAUGAAGCAGUAUCUAGUGUUCUCUAA
rnacentral:rRNA from 1 species